CUGAUUACAUUAUCGGAUCAGGUUUAACCUGCGGUCCAACAAUAUAGGGAGAAGUUAUAGUUUAUGCUAUAUUCCGGCCAACAUUAGUCGCGGUGUAGUUAGCUAACUAGUUAACCUAACAUCAACAGCAGCUUUUUUUUUAUCUUAGUAGAUCCUGGGUUUUCUGUGAGGACCGAAAACAGACGAUUUGUGAAAUGUCUUCAGACGAAGACAGGGCCAAGGAAAUUUUGAAGGGCUUCAAACUAAACUGGAUGAAUCUUCGAGAUGCAGAAACGGGAAAAGUGCUGUGGCAGGGAACUGAGGACCUCUCUGUACCGGGAGUAGAACAUGAAGCUCGCGUCCCGAAGAAGAUCCUGAAGUGUAAAGCAGUGUCCAGAGAACUGAACUUCUCCUCUUCGGAGAAACUGGAGAAAUUCAGGCUGGAGCAGAAAGUUUUCUUCAAGGGACAGUGUCUAGAAGAAUGGUUCUUUGAGUUUGGUUUCGUCAUCCCCAACUCCACCAACACAUGGCAGUCUCUGAUAGAAGCAGCUCCAGAGUCCCAGAUGAUGCCAGCCAACGUUUUAACUGGUAAUGUGAUCAUAGAGACCAAGUUCUACGACGACGACCUCCAUGUCAGCACCUCCAGGGUACGACUCUUCUACGUCUGACCUCUGACCCACGGCUCUACCUUCCAAAAUGCUGACAUCCUGCCAAGGUCUAUAAAUAACAGAGGUUGCAUUUACUCAGGAACAGAACAUUAGACGUGUAACCUUCUGUGAUCUGAUCUUCUUCUGUCUGUCUGAACAUGGAAACACCGCUCCCCACGUUUCGUCCAUUUAGACAGGAGCUGCACAUCCGUCUCGAGGGAAGACGCAGCUUAGUGUCUCUCCUGAGCUACGGUCAAGAAGUUUUCACCGUAAAACAGUCGAUAACAUUUCCUCCAGCUGUGUCCCAUUCCAGAGGCUGCCUCCACUUCCUGAUCAGACUGUCCCAGUGAAAUGAGUCCGAAAAUUGUUCUAUUACCAGAGGAAUGGAAGUUAUGUGGAUUUAUUUGGACAUAUCAACUCUUGAAAUUUCCACUUUUAUGAAUUGAUGAGGGCUUCCUGAAUGCACUGUUAAUGGUGGUCUCUGUGAGGCCAAGCUGGUGGAGCUGCUGAUGUAUCUUUAGUCGUCUGAAGGGCACACCUUUGCUGGCAGCCUCUGAAGUCGGACACGGCUUCUACCAACCAAACCUGUCCUGUUUUCUGAGCGCACAGAGUAGAGUAGAACAGGGGUUUUCACUGUAGAGGACCGCCUGUCCACCAAGACAGCCUCUGGUUCAACUGGACUGCUUCUUGUCUGUAUUGUUUGAAAUGAAAACCUGCACGCUGUUGCCAUGAUGACACGAGCUCGACCAGGAAGUGUCUGAGGGACGUUCAUCAGCAAACACAAGGGGGUUGUAGUACAUACAUGUAUGUGCUUGUACUUGACUUUCAGAGGUGUACUUACAUAAAACAUUCAACGCUCAACUAAAUCCUCAUCGGGUGUUGACCGAGACAUGCAUCAUUUCUUCUCAGUAGCUCACCUGUCAAUAAUUUUAUCCCAACUUGACCCAGAUGUUAACAGCCGCUUUAGGUGUUUAACACAGCUCUGCUCGGUACAUCCUGGCUAUAGAUUUUUAACUUUGACUUCCCGUCCAAUUCACUGCAUUUAUGUCAUUGUUUGUUUUUUUCCUUAGCUGCUAACUGAGCUGUGUAAAAUAGAAUUGUUUUAAUAUGAGAGGAGUAGUGGAUUAAAGUCAUCCAAUGUUGUAAUAACAUAAUGUGCGUCUGCUCUUUAUUGUAUUGCUUUCAAAUAAGUUUACCUGUACCUUAUUUGAAAGCAUGUGUGGGUUUAUUAUGUUAAUGUUAACACAGUGACAGAAAUGCAUUGACACCUGACACUUUGGAAACACAAGGCGGCUGCUGUGUGAAAUUAGUUUAGCUAAACCGCCACCCUCAGGAACUUAAAGGAAGUGGCAGUGUGAUUGCACUGUUUAAAGAAAAAAUCUGUUUAGGUUCGGCUGAAUGAUUUGUAUCGGUUAAAAUCACCAGUCAAAUAAGUAUCCAAACGCAAAUGUAACAUUUGUACAUAUAUUGAAUUUGCAUAUAUGAAAUAUAUGUACAUACAAAAUUAAAACACAUGUAAAAAUGAUAUAUAGA